rnacentral:rRNA from 1 species
AUUUUGCGCAAUGGGGGAAACCCUGACGCAGCAACGCCGCGUGAUUGAAGAAGCCCUUCGGGGUGUAAAGAUCUGUCAGUGGGGACGAAACUUGACGGUACCCACAGAGGAACCAUCGGNCAACUCCGUGCCAGCAGCCGCGGUAAUACGGGGGAUGCAAGCGUUGUCCGGAAUCAUUGGGCGUAAAGAGUUCGUAGGUGGCACGUUAAGUCUGGUGUUAAAUGCAGGGGCUCAACCUCUGUUCGGCACUGGAUACUGGCGAGCUUGAAUGCGGUAGAGGUAAAGGGAAUUCCUGGUGUAGCGGUGAAAUGCGUAGAUAUCAGGAGGAACAUCGGUGGCGUAAGCGCUUUACUGGGCCGUAAUUGACACUGAGGAACGAAAGCCAGGGUAGAAAA